rnacentral:rRNA from 1 species
AACGAACGCUGGCGGCAGGCUUAACACAUGCAAGUCGAACGCACUGCAAGGUGAGUGGCAGACGGGUGAGGAACACGUGGGAACAUCCCCUUCAGUUCGGAAUAACUCAGGGAAACUUGAGCUAAUACCGGAUACGUCCGUGAGGAGAAAGAUUUAUCGCUGAAGGAAUGGCCCGCGUCUGAUUAGCUAGUUGGUGAGGUAACGGCUCACCAAGGCUACGAUCAGUAGCUGAUCUGAGAGGAUGAUCAGCCACAUUGGGACUGAGACACGGCCCAAACUCCUACGGGAGGCAGCAGUGGGGAAUAUUGGACAAUGGGCGCAAGCCUGAUCCAGCCAUGCCGCGUGAGUGAUGAAGGCCUUCGGGUUGUAAAGCUCUUUUGUCCGGGAAGAUAAUGACUGUACCGGAAGAAUAAGCCCCGGCAAACUUCGUGCCAGCCGCCGCAGUAA